CAUGAUUCUCCCACUCCAGACAGACGCAGGUUAAGAUCCUCCCUGGUGUCUGUUUGAGGGUGUCAGAUCCCCUGGAGCUAGAGUUACAGACAAUUGUGAACUGCCAGUUGGUUUUCAGGGCAUUGUACGAGACAUUGGUACUUGUAAAGACUGGAAAACAAUCCCCAGAUGGAAAACUACUCCCAUGAAGACUUGUUUUUACAAAGGAUGAAGGAACUAUGGGGAAAACUCUUUAACAUCAACAUCUUCCUAUUCCAACAUCAGAAUUACUCAUGUGAGCGGAGGAAGGUGAGAAAGAGAUUUAUUUCAAGACUCUGAGAAGAUCUCCGGGAAAAUCCAUGGCUCCCCAUCAUGGUGCCAGCUAUAACUGAUCUCUGAGUCGUAAUCUACUUCCUCCCCACUCUUUCUCUAUUUGAAUCAACACCGGAACUAGCAGGCAAGUUUAGAGAACUGAUUUCAAGCAUAUUACAUGCUUACUCUUGAUUCUUACCUUUAGAAUAUACGAGUCAUAGUCUCUAAGAGCUGGAUGCAGCGGGCAGAGAUUACUGAGGUGCACAACGUGAUUUUAGCUCUCACAUUGCACAGUUGUUUAAUGGUAGCAGAGGUCUUCUUGACUGGCCCUGCUCCCUCCCAUUAUCAACACUAGUUUUACCUUCUACUGCUGGCUGUGCUAUGAAGCAGAACCCAUGUCUGCCACGAUUGGAAUACCAAUACAGUUUUAGAAGCUAGAGUUUAGGAUUCGUAUACAAGUAAGUACUCAGGUUAAGGGCACUGAGAUAUAAAAGAAAGCAUUGGUAAGCAAGGAGG